CUGACUCUCCGUCGAUCAGUGGUGGCAGUGGUCUAGCUGACCUGUCGUAGUAUCGCUUUUGUUGUUGUUGUCUCUGUGCACGGUUUUCAUGCAUUUCUUUGUAGCUGACGACCUCAGGUUGCAGCUGCAGGUUGGUGCUGGGAAGGAUUGAGCGAAGUCUGCGGCUCAUCAAAAGCUGGGCUGGUGAUUUGAAGUUGUCAACUGGAGUGUUGCGGUAUUCAAGGAGACUGAGAGGAGCAGGUAGCUGCACUUUUCCUCUUCUCCUCUUUCCUUCAGAGGACCUGUGAACAUCAGCUCCACAUGCUGUUUGUACUUACGCCAUGCAUCGGUGGAGCAGGUUGAGAGCUUCAAGUUCCUUGGUGUCCACAUCAACAACAAACUAGAAUGGUCCAAAAACACCAAGACAGUUGUGAAGAAGGCACAACAAAGCCUAUUCCCCCUCAGGAAACUAAAAAGAUUUGGCAUGGGUCCUGAGAUCCUCAAAAGGUUCUACAGCUGCAACAUCGAGAGCAUCCUGACUGGUUGCAUCACUGCCUGGUUCGGCAAUUGCUCAGCCUCUGACCGCAAGGCACUACAGAGGGUAGUGCGUACGGCCCAGUACAUUACUGGGGUUAAGCUGCCUGCCAUCCAGGACCUCUACACCAGGCGGUAUCAGAGGAAGGCACAAAAAAUUGUCAAAGACCC
rnacentral:lncRNA from 1 species